UACGUAGGGUCCGAGCGUUGUCCGGAAUCACUGGGCGUAAAGGGUGCGUAGGCGGGUCUUUAAGUCAGGGGUGAAAUCCUGGAGCUCAACUCCAGAACUGCCUUUGAUACUGAGGAUCUUGAGUUCGGGAGAGGUGAGUGGAACUGCGGAGUGUAGAGGUGAAAUUCGUAGAUAUUCGCAAGAACACCAAUGGCGAAGGCGGCUCACUGGCCCGAUACUGACGCUGAGGCACGAAAGCGUGGGGAGCAAACAGG
rnacentral:rRNA from 1 species